rnacentral:rRNA from 1 species
AUUCGGCGUAAAGAGUGGUUAUGCACCCCUUCCAAACUAAAGCCGAACACUCUCAGUACUGUUAUACGUUUUUGAGAACAAGAAGCCCAAUUACGAAAGUGGCUUUAUCAAUGUUGAACCCACGAAAGCUGUGAAACAAACUGGGAUUAGAUACCCCACUAUGCACAGCCAUAAACUUUGGCAACACUAUACACUUUCUGCCCGCCAGGUACUACAAGCAUGAGCUUAAAACCCAAAGGACUUGGCGGUGCUUAAGAUCCCCCUAGAGGAGCCUGUUCUAGAACCGAUAACCCCCGUUAAACCUCACCCUCACUUGUCACCACCGCCUAUAUACCUCCGUCGUCAGCUUACCCUGUGAAGGUCUAAUAGUAAGCAAAAUUAGUA